GACGUAGGGCGCGAGCGUGUCCGGAUUUAUUGGGCGUAAAGAGCUCGUAGGCGGCUCAUCGCGUCUGCCGUGAAAACCCGCAGCUCAACUGCGGGCUUGCGGUUGAUACGGGUGGGCUGGAGUUCGGUAGGGGAGACUGGAAUUCCUGGUGUAGCGGUGAAAUGCGCAGAUAUCAGGAGGAACACCGGUGGCGAAGGCGGGUCUCUGGCCGAUACUGACGC
rnacentral:rRNA from 1 species